GAUGAACGCUGGCAGCAUGCUUAACACAUGCAAGUCGACUGGAACUUCGGUGUUUGUGGCGGACGUGUGAGUCACGCGUACAGAACUUGCCUCACAGUUAGGGACAACAUUUGGAAACGAAUGCUAAUACCUGAUAUUAUGAUUCUAGGGCAUCCUAGAAUUAUGAAAGCUAUGUGCGCUGUGAGAGGGCUUUGGGUCGCAUUAGCUAGUUGGAGAGGUAACGGCUCACCAGGGCGAUGAUGGGUAGCCUGCCUGAGAGGGUGAACGGCCACAAGGGGAUUGAGAAACGGCCCUUACGCAAACGGGGGGAAGGAGUGGGAAAUAUUGGAAACGGGACCAAGAGUCUGAUCCAGCAAUUCUGUGUGGAAGACGAAGUUUUUCGGAAUGAAAAGUGGUUUCAGUUGACAAGAAAAAAAUGACGGUACCAACAGAAGAAGUGACGGCUAAAUACGUG
rnacentral:rRNA from 1 species